ACGAACGCUGGCGGCGUGCCUAACACAUGCAAGUCGAGCGAGGAGAUCCUCGGGAUGAUCCUAGCGGCGGACGGGUGAGUAACACGUGGGCAACCUGCCUCAUAGAGAGGAAUAGCCUUCCGAAAGGGAGAUUAAUACCUCAUAACAUUGCAGUUUCGCAUGGAACAGCAAUUAAAGGAGUAAUCCGCUAUGAGAUGGGCCCGCGGCGCAUUAGCUAGUUGGUGAGGUAAUGGCUCACCAAGGCGACGAUGCGUAGCCGACCUGAGAGGGUGAUCGGCCACAUUGGGACUGAGACACGGCCCAGACUCCUACGGGAGGCAGCAGUGGGGAAUAUUGCACAAUGGGGGAAACCCUGAUGCCAGCAACGCCGCGUGAGUGAUGACGGCCUUCGGGUUGUAAAGCUCUGUCUUCAGGGACGAUAAUGACGGUACCUGAGGAGGAAGCCACGGCUAACUACGUGCCAGCCGCCGC
rnacentral:rRNA from 1 species